UCAAACUUGGUCAUUUAGAGGAAGUAAAAGUCGUAACAAGGUUUCCGUAGGUGAACCUGCGGAAGGAUCAUUACAGUAGUAAUACCGACGGGAGCCCGCCUAAAAAACGGUUGCUUCCCGUACAGGAUUCCCUCCUGCCCGCCGGGGCGGUCGAGCGACCUGUUGAACCCUUUGUGAAAACCCCCAAGUUGCUUCGGCAGCUCGCCAACCCUUUAACGGGAAGGCGGUCAGCCUGCCGACGGCACCCUUGAAAACUCAUUCAUGUAACUUAGCAGUGAUACGUCUGAGCGCAAAGUCGAAUUGACUAUAAAACUUUCAACAACGGAUCUCUUGGUUCCCGCAUCGAUGAAGAACGCAGC
rnacentral:misc_RNA from 1 species